rnacentral:rRNA from 1 species
GGGGGAUAACACCUGGAAACAGAUGCUAAUACCGCAUAACAACUUGGACCGCAUGGUCCGAGCUUGAAAGAUGGCUUCGGCUAUCACUUUUGGAUGGUCCCGCGGCGUAUUAGCUAGAUGGUGGGGUAACGGCUCACCAUGGCAAUGAUACGUAGCCGACCUGAGAGGGUAAUCGGCCACAUUGGGACUGAGACACGGCCCAAACUCCUACGGGAGGCAGCAGUAGGGAAUCUUCCACAAUGGACGAAAGUCUGAUGGAGCAACGCCGCGUGAGUGAAGAAGGGUUUCGGCUCGUAAAACUCUGUUGUUAAAGAAGAACAUAUCUGAGAGUAACUGUUCAGGUAUUGACGGUAUUUAACCAGAAAGCCACGGCUAACUACGUGCCAGCAGCCGCGGUAAUACGUAGGUGGCAAGCGUUGUCCGGAUUUAUUGGGCGUAAAGCGAGCGCAGGCGGUUUUUUAAGUCUGAUGUGAAAGCCUUCGGCUCAACCGAAGAAGUGCAUCGGAAACUGGGAAACUUGAGUGCAGAAGAGGACAGUGGAACUCCAUGUGUAGCGGUGAAAUGCGUAGAUAUAUGGAAGAACACCAGUGGCGAAGGCGGCUGUCUGGUCUGUAACUGACGCUGAGGCUCGAAAGUAUGGGUAGCAAACAGGAUUAGAUACCCUGGUAGUCCAUACCGUAAACGAUGAAUGCUAAGUGUUGGAGGGUUUCCGCCCUUCAGUGCUGCAGCUAACGCAUUAAGCAUUCCGCCUGGGGAGUACGGCCGCAAGGCUGAAACUCAAAGGAAUUGACGGGGGCCCGCACAAGCGGUGGAGCAUGUGGUUUAAUUCGAAGCUACGCGAAGAACCUUACCAGGUCUUGACAUACUAUGCAAAUCUAAGAGAUUAGACGUUCCCUUCGGGGACAUGGAUACAGGUGGUGCAUGGUUGUCGUCAGCUCGUGUCGUGAGAUGUUGGGUUAAGUCCCGCAACGAGCGCAACCCUU